CCUGGUGGCUCAGAUGGUAAAGCGUCUGCCUGCAAUGCAGGAGACCCGAGUUCGAUCCCUGGGUCAGGA
rnacentral:tRNA from 1 species